UACGUAGGGUGCGAGCGUUUAAUCGGAAUACUGGGCGUAAAGCGUGCGCAGGCGGUUCGUUGUGUCGGCGGUGAAAGCCCCGGGCUCAACCUGGGAAUGGCCGGUUGAAACUGGCGAACUGGAGUGUGGCAGGGAGGGGGGUGAAUUCCGCGUGUAGCAGUGAAAUGCGUAGAGAUGCGGAGGAACACCGAUGGCGAAGGCAGCCCCCUGGGCUGACACUGACGCUCAGGCACGAAAGCGUGGGGAGCAAACAGG
rnacentral:rRNA from 1 species